rnacentral:rRNA from 1 species
CCGCACGGGUGAGUAACACGUAUCCAACCUGCCGUCUACUCUUGGCCAGCCUUCUGAAAGGAAGAUUAAUCCAGGAUGGCAUCAUGAGUUCACAUGUCCGCAUGAUUAAAGGUAUUUUCCGGUAGACGAUGGGGAUGCGUUCCAUUAGAUAGUAGGCGGGGUAACGGCCCACCUAGUCAACGAUGGAUGGGGGUUCUGAGAGGAAGGUCCCCCACAUUGGAACUGAGACACGGUCCAA